rnacentral:tRNA from 1 species
GCCGGGAUGGCGAAAUUGGCAGCCGCGCCUGGUUUAGAACCAUGUGGGGAGACCCGUGGGGGUUCAAGUCCCUCUCCCGGUACCA